UAAUAGGAAAGUAAGAGCAUAUGGUGGAUGCCUUGACUCUACAUGGCGAUGAAGGACGUAGCAGGCUGCGAUAAGCUUCGGGGAAGUGCCUAGCAACUUUUGAUCCGAAGAUCUCCGAAUGGGGGAACCCCAUCGAGUAAACCUCGAUGACUCUGUUCUUUAUGAAUAGAGAGUAUACCCAGGGAAGUGAAACAUCUCAGUACCUGGAGGAAAAGAAAACAAAGUCCGCAAGGACAAAAUUUCCGAAGUAGCGGCGAGCGAAAUGGAAAUAGCCCAAACCAAUUUUAUUUCGCAAGAAAUAAAGUCGGGGUUGUAAGGUGACAAUGACGUUUUAUUACGUGGAAAGUUACAAAAUGUACUAAUAGUUUAAGUUGUUGGAAAGCAACGCCACAGACGGUGAUAGCCCGGUAAGCGAAAUUAGUAUAUCUUUUUUAUUGUCAUUCUUGAGUACUUCAAGACAUGAAUAGCUUGGAGGAAUCCGGCAGAACUAACUGCCAAGGCUAAAUACGUGUAGAGAUCGAUAGUGAACUAGUACCGCGAGGGAAAGGUGAAAAGUAGUCCGAUAAGGACAGUGAAAUAGACCUGAAACCAUAUGCUUACAAGGAGUCGGAGCGGGCUGAACUUUGUGUAGAUCGUUUUGUAUUUUCUGUAAUGAAUUUAAAAGGUUCGUACAUUUAGAACGUGCGUGUUCUAAGGUAUAUCGGCGAAUUGUGGAUGUUUCGAUUGUAUUGAAACGUAGAAGCAAUUUACUGAGAGUGCCUAAAAUAUACGGAUAGAUUUUUUUUGAAUUCAUUAAGACAGGGUUUUGAUAUCAGACCCUGUUUAUUACAGAGAAUACAAAUUUGAUGUACAUAGUGUGCAGUCCGUCACGGCGUGCCUAUUGAAGAAUGAGCCAACGAGUUCUAGUAUGCUGCUUAGCUAAACUCUUACGAGUGGAGCUGCAGGGAAACCAAGUGUUAAUAGCGCGUAAUUGGUAGUCUACUAGAGACCCGAAGCCAGGUGAGCUACCCAUGAGCAGGAUGAAGGUGUGAGAAAUCACGCUGGAGGUCCGAACCGGUGAGCCGUACAAUACUCUCGGAUGACUUGUGGGUUGGAGUGAAAAGCUUAUCGAACUUGGUAAUAGCUGGUUCUCUCCGAAAUAGCUUUAGGGCUAGCGUCAUGUGUUCCUCUUGGGGGUAGAGCACUGGAAGAUUUCGACAGGGAGCAAUCUCGCGACAUCUAUCAAACUCCGAAUACCAAGAGUUAAAAAUAUGGCAGUUAGACUACGGGGGCGAAGCUCCGUUAGUCAAAAGGGAAACAGCCCAGAUCUCAAUUUAAGGUCCCUAAAUGUAUGCUAAGUGCAAGUCGAGGAUGUGAAAUUUCUUAGACAAUGAGGAUGUUGGCUUAGAAGCAGCCAUCAUUUAAAGAAAGCGUAACAGCUCACUCAUCAAGAGAUCUCGCGCCGUAGAUAAUCGGGGCUAAGCAUACUACCGAAACUGAGGAUUCGUGAACUUCAUAAAGGAGAAAAAUUUCUUUGUUGAAAAUUAAAGAAAGAAUGAUUCAUUUGAUCAUUCACUCCAUGUUCUUUGGAAGAUUGGAAAGAAGAUUGUAUUUUGAUUGGUGGUAAAUACUUCCAGCCGAGUCGCAUGUUGACACUCGACAUGAGGCAAGUGCCCGAUACAAUUUUCUUUUCUAGAGCAAGGUGUGUACAAACGCACCUUGUCUCCUUUAUGAAGUUCGCGAGUGGUAGGAGAGUAUUCGUAACCGCGUUGAAGCCGAAGGGGUGACCCACGGUGGAGCGUUGCGAAGUAAGAAUGUUGGCACAAGUAACCGCAAGGAGGGUGAGAGUCCCUCCCGUCGAAAGAUCAAGGUUUCCUUGGCUAUGACAAUCAGCCAAGGGUUAGUCGGGCCUAAGGGGAUGGCGAGAGCCGGACCUGAUGGACAGCAGGUUAAUAUUCCUGCACUUCUGUAUUAUGCGAUGAGAGGACGAAGGGUAGUAUGUCUCGCAGAUUAUUGGAUUUCUGUUUAGGAGCUGAGCGUGGUGUGUAGGAAAAUCCGCACAUUGCCUUUGAUGGCACAUGCAAGGUUAGUAGAAAGAUGGUGGUUCGCCACUGUCAAUGAGACAAAGCACGCUUCCAAGAAAAUUUUCUAAGCUUAAUGAUAUAGAAACCGUACCGCAAACCGACACAGGUGAUCAGGUCGAGAAGACCAAGACGAACGAGUGAGUGUUCCCCAAGGAACUCGGCAAAAAAGCAGCCGUAACUUUGGAAUAAGGCUUCCCCUUCCUACUUUGUUCUCAAUUUUUUUUUCAAAAAUUAACAAAGGAGGAAACAAUGAUUACAAUAAAAUUCAUUGGCGAAAAAAAUCAUACAUCUCCAAAAGUUGAGAUUUAUGAUGAAAACAAUACUUUAAUUGAUACUGUUAUAGUUAAGCAAGGAAAAGAAAUUUUCUUUCAAAGAGAAAAUGCUCUGAAGAGCAAAACUUUCCUAUCUGAUCCUAAAAGAAAAGUAACAGUUACAAUUGAGUAAGAUUGUUGAAUGCUCUUUAGCCUCCAAUGAUUCUAAAAUUAUUGAGACUAAAGUAGGAAGGGGCGCAGCGAAAGUAUCUCUGGCAACUGUUUAUCAAAAACACAGCUCCCUGCGAACUCGUAAGAGGAUGUAUAGGGGGUGACACCUGACCAAUGCGAGAAGGUCAAAUAUCGGCGGUUCUUCAUAGCCGCAAGGCUGUGAAGAGCUGACUGAUAUAAGCCCUCGUGAAUGUCGGCCGUAACUAUAACGGUCCUAAGGUAGCGAAGUACCUUGUCGGGUAAGUUCCGACGCGCACGAAUGGUGUAAUGACUGGAGAACUGUCUCGGGGAAUAGCUCGGUGAAAAUACAAUACCGGUGAAGAUGCCGGUUAAGUGCAGAUAGACGAAAAGACCCCGGAAGCUUUACUACAACUUGGUAUUGAGUAUGUUUUGUGGCUGCGUAGCAUAAGUGGGAGACUUUGAAGCAGAGAUCUCGGUUUCUGUGGAGUCGACAGUGCAAUACCACUCUUUCAUGUGGCAUAUUCUAAUCCUUGCGGCAAAAACGCAAAGAAACAGUAUCUGGUGGGUAGUUUUACUGGGGCGGUAUCCUCCUAAAGAGUAACGGAGGAGUUUAUUAAGGUUAGCUAGGCGCGUAUGGAAACCGUGCCGAUAGUGUAAUGGCACAAGCUAGCUUGACUGUAAGGGGUACAUCCCGAGCAGGUACGAAAGUAGAACAUAGUGAACCGAUGGUCCGCAUUAGAUGCGGCCGAAGAUUAACGGAUAGAAGCUACUCCGGGGAUAACAGGCUAGUUGCGCCUAAGAGUUCAUAUCGACGGCGCAGUUCGGCACCUUAACAUAUCGGGGUGCCAUGACAGUAAUGUCAUUAGCGUUUCCUCAUCGCGUUGUAGAUAGCGCGGUGAGGAAAAUAAAAUAAUUGGCUAUAUGCUGGAACUCUUAUCGUCAUUGAUAAGACAAUCAGCAGGGAAGGCCACAUGAGAUAGGCGAAGCCGGCCAUCUCACGUGGAACCCUCAGAGACUACACGCCAAUCUCCUACUCAUAUUUAUAUGAAAGAGGAAGAAGAUAUAGUCCGAUCCUUCUAGUGAUAGAAGCUUCUGGGGAGAAGUAAAAUUUAUUUCUCCCCAGAAUACAACGACAGCGAUGUCGGCUCACCUUAUCCUGGCGGUGGAGAAGCUGCCAAGGGUUUAGCUGUUCGCUAAUUAAAAAGGUACGCGAGCUGGGUUCAAACCGUCGUGAGACAGGUUGGUCUCCUAUCUACUGCACUCGUUGAUUCUUGAGAAGUGUUGCUCCUAGUACGAGAGGACCGGAGUGAACUGACCUCUGGUGUACCUGCUGUCUUGCCAAAGGCAACGCAGGGUAGCUAUGUCAGGCAUGGAUAACCUCUGAAAGCAUCUAAGAGGGAAGCCAUCUUCAAGAUGAGGAAUCGUUUGAGAAUCGUGAGAGAUGAUCACGUUGAUAGGCGUUAGGUGUACGCGCAGUAAUGCGUUGAGCCGAGACGUACUAAUUAUUCGAUUCCUAUUAGG
rnacentral:rRNA from 1 species